rnacentral:rRNA from 1 species
CGGGGUGCAGCAGGCGCGAAAACUUUACAAUGCUGGCAACAGCGAUAAGGGGACCUUGAGUGCCAGGAUACAAUCCUGGCUGUCGUGAUGCCUAAAAAGCAUUAUAUAGCAAGGGCCGGGCAAGACCGGUGCCAGCCGCCGCGGUAACACCGGCGGCUCGAGUGGUAACCGCUAUUAUUGGGUCUAAAGGGUCUGUAGCCGGCUUGGUUAGUCUCUUGGGAAAUCCGGCAGCGUAACUGUCGGGCUUUCAGGAGAUACUGCCAGGCUCGAGACCGGGAGAGGUGAGAGGUACUUCAUGGGUAGGGGUGAAAUCUUGUAAUCCUUGAAGGACCACCAGUGGCGAAGGCGUCUCACCAGAACGGAUCUGACGGCAAGGGACGGAAGCUAGGGGCACGAACCGGAUUAGAUAUCCGGGUAGUCCUAGCCGUAAACGAUACUCGCUAGGUGUCGGCCACGGUGCGACCGUGGUCGGUGCCGUAGGGAAGCCGUGAAGCGAGCCACCUGGGAAGUACGGCCGCAAGGCUGAAACUUAAAGGAAUUGGCGGGGGAGCACAAGGGCGAAUGCG